UACGGGGGGAGCAAGCGUUGUUCGGAUUUACUGGGCGUAAAGGGCGCGUAGGCGGCCACCGCAAGUCGACUGUGAAAUCUCCGGGCUUAACCCGGAAAGGUCAGCCGAUACUGCGGGCUAGAGUGCAGAAGGGCAACUGGAAUUCUCGGUGUAGCGGUGAAAUGCGUAGAUAUCGAGAGGAACACCUGCGGCGAAGGCGGGUUGCUGGCUGACACUGACGCUGAUGCGCGAAAGCUAGGGAGCGAACGGG
rnacentral:rRNA from 1 species